rnacentral:rRNA from 1 species
GAUUGAACGCUGGCGGCAGGCCUAACACAUGCAAGUCGAGCGGAUGAYGGGAGCUUGCUCCYGGAUUCAGCGGCGGACGGGUGAGUAAUGCCUAGGAAUCUGCCUGGUAGUGGGGGACAACGUUUCGAAAGGAACGCUAAUACCGCAUACGUCCUACGGGAGAAAGUGGGGGACCUUCGGGCCUCACGCUAUCAGAUGAGCCUAGGCCGGAUUAGCUAGUUGGUGAGGUAAAGGCUCACCAAGGCGACGAUCCGUAACUGGUCUGAGAGGAUGAUCAGUCACACUGGAACUGAGACACGGUCCAGACUCCUACGGGAGGCAGCAGUGGGGAAUAUUGGACAAUGGGCGAAAGCCUGAUCCAGCCAUGCCGCGUGUGUGAAGAAGGUCUUCGGAUUGUAAAGCACUUUAAGUUGGGAGGAAGGGCAGUAAGCGAAUACCUURCUGUUUUGACGUUACCGACAGAAUAAGCACCGGCUAACUCUGU